rnacentral:rRNA from 1 species
UACGAAGGGGGCUAGCGUUGCUCGGAAUUACUGGGCGUAAAGGGCGCGUAGGCGGACAGUUUAGUCAGAGGUGAAAGCCCAGGGCUCAACCUUGGAAUUGCCUUUGAUACUGGCUGUCUUGAGUACGGGAGAGGUGAGUGGAACUCCGAGUGUAGAGGUGAAAUUCGUAGAUAUUGGGAAGAACACCGGUGGCGAAGGCGGCUCUCUGGACCGAGACUGACGCUGAGGCGCGAAAGCGUGGGGAGCAAACAGG